AAUUCUCAACCUUUAUUAGCUUUUGCUGGUAAAUGGCUUGGAUGUGGGGGCUUGCUGGCUUUGGUCAGCUCCCCUUAAAUGCAUUAGCCGGUGCCCUGUGUGGACUGUCUAUUGGUGUGAUAAUUAUCUACGCCAUGGGAUGUCUGCGAUGGUUUUGCGCUGCUUCUAACCGUCUGUUCAUUCGGACAAUUUCAAUGACA
rnacentral:misc_RNA from 1 species